GAUGAACGCUGGCGGCGUGCCUAAUACAUGCAAGUCGAGCGAACAGACGAGGAGCUUGCUCCUCUGACGUUAGCGGCGGACGGGUGAGUAACACGUGGAUAACCUACCUAUAAGACUGGGAUAACUUCGGGAAACCGGAGCUAAUACCGGAUAAUAUAUUGAACCGCAUGGUUCAAUAGUGAAAGACGGUUUUGCUGUCACUUAUAGAUGGAUCCGCGCCGCAUUAGCUAGUUGGUAAGGUAACGGCUUACCAAGGCGACGAUGCGUAGCCGACCUGAGAGGGUGAUCGGCCACACUGGAACUGAGCCACGGUCCAGACUCCUACGGGAGGCAGCAGUAGGGAAUGUUCGGCAAAGGGCGAAAGCCUGACGGAGCAACGCCGCGUGAGUGAUGAAGGUCUUCGGAUCGUAAAACUCUGUUAUUAGGGAAGAACAAAUGUGUAAGUAACUAUGCACGUCUUGACGGUACCUAAUCAGAAAGCCACGGCUAACUACGUG
rnacentral:rRNA from 1 species